rnacentral:rRNA from 1 species
CCUACGGGGGGCAGCAGUGGGGAAUAUUGGACAAUGGGGGCAACCCUGAUCCAGCCAUGCCGCGGGUGUGAAGAAGGCCCUCGGGUUGUAAAGCACUUUCAGUGAGGAAGAACGCCUGGUGGUUAAUACCCAUCAGGAAAGACAUCACUCACAGAAGAAGCACCGGCUAACUCCGUGCCAGCAGCCGCGGUAAUACGGAGGGUGCGAGCGUUAAUCGGAAUUACUGGGCGUAAAGCGCGCGUAGGUGGCUUGAUAAGCCGGUUGUGAAAGCCCCGGGCUCAACCUGGGAACGGCAUCCGGAACUGUCAAGCUAGAGUGCAGGAGAGGAAGGUAGCAUUCCCGGUGUAGCGGUGAAAUGCGUAGAGAUCGGGAGGAAUACCAGUGGCGAAGGCGGCCUUCUGGACUGACACUGACACUGAGGUGCGAAAGCGUGGGUAGCAAACAGGAUUAGAUACCCUUGUAGUC